AAGCUCACUGAUCUGCCGAGGGUUUGUGCUUUUCUGUCUUCAUGCAUCUGUUGUGGGUGAAGAGAGCAAAGAUUCUUCAUUCAAUCAAAGGCCCCCUUUGGAGAUGCUGAGAAGGAAAUUUCCUUUGGAAAUUCCCAAAGCCUCUAAGAAGUGAAGUCUCCUGACUCAUCCACAUUUGAGUUUGGACAUAUGCUACUGGGACUAAUGAAUUUAGAUAGCUUGGAUGGUGGUCCAGUUUCGGGGACCCCCAUGAUGGGGGAUGGUGUCUUUCGUGGUAAACAAGAUAUCUGACAGCAUAAACAGCACAGGGAGGAGCUCUGGGUACUGUAUAAUGAAUACAAGAAACUACCCUACCUCACAGUGGCAUAUGUGUUUUCUGGAAAGUCACAGCUGUCAACUGAAGGGGAGACAUCUCUAAACUCAAAUGCUUCAGGGGCUUAAGCAGCUUUGCUGUGUGACCCCUCUAAGUGAGUGUGAUGCGGAGAGCAUGUCAUUCAUUUCUUCCAGUUGAUGAUAGGACUUGCUGGCCACCGGGAGCUGGUGCCAGGAGAGAUUUGGGUUUCUGGAGGAUGGUGGAUUUUCAUCUCCAGCAGCACCAGCAAGGAAACAGCAGUUUCAGUGCAAAGAGCUGCGAAAUCCCAGCCUUCCUAGCCUCAUGGCACCUGGGUCUCUUUCACAGAUACACGCAAGCAGUGUUGGAGCCGGAACUGGCCUCUAGAAAUGUCGACCAGUUGUCAUCCUCACCAGCAGACUACCGGAGUGUUUAUUUCUCUUCUGCUUUCGCCAGCUCUGGACAUUCUCACUAAAAAAUAAAACAACAAAUCCUG
rnacentral:lncRNA from 1 species